UGACGAGGAUGAAAUGGAUUCUCCAUUGGCACUUUUUAAGUUUUCCUUUGGAAUUACACCAGAUGCGAGACUAUUUUGAAUUGGCUACACUUAGCAAAGAAAAGGUUUCUUUAUUUGAAACAGGCAAUGAGAAUGAUGCAAGCGAUUUUACUGAUCUUCCUGAAAAAAAAUGGUCAUAAAAUUUUGGCGCCAUCUGAAAGUGGUAUUUGUUCUUGUGGUGCAGAGUGGGAUAAACGUUCUAUUCAAGAUGAAUGGUUGUACGUAGACUUGUGUUCAGUUGCGUACUUUUGUUCAAUCCAUGAUGUGAAGGUGUAUUGUAGACCUUGCUCCUCUUGUGCUACGAAAAAGCAUUAUGAUGGCAUUGAAAACAGGAUUGUAUGGUUUGGAUCAUAUGCAAUAUCUCAUGCCGUUCUAAAAGAUUA